AUUUGGUCAGAUCUGACUUUGUCGAAUUAAACCAGGAGCUUGGAAACGAAUUUUUGAAUGAAACCAAUUGGGGGAUAUUUGGUUUAUACCAUGGUGAUAACCGAGAGAGGCAAUUGCUAAGUUGUGAUGCACUCAUACCUUUACUAGAUGCGAACAAUUCCGGAGAAG